CUCUAAACCUAAGGGAUAGGCGUGAAAAUACUUUUUGAUGCAGGUUUUCGACAGGCUCAGACUGACAUUCACAAAAAGAUUGUAACGAAUAGUGGGACUAACA
rnacentral:sRNA from 1 species